rnacentral:rRNA from 1 species
UACGAAGGGGGCUAGCGUUGCUCGGAAUGACUGGGCGUAAAGGGCGCGUAGGCGGAUGGUACAGUCAGAUGUGAAAUUCCUGGGCUUAACCUGGGGGCUGCAUUUGAUACGUAUUGUCUAGAGUGAGGAAGAGGGUCGUGGAAUUCCCAGUGUAGAGGUGAAAUUCGUAGAUAUCAGGAAGAACACCCGUGGCGAAGGCGGCUCUCUGGGACGGUACUGACGCUGAGGAGCGAAAGCGUGGGGAGCGAACAGG